UCAUCAACUUCAUCAACAAUUUUAUCAACAGUCACUGCCUGUUUGGAGGAAAUAAGGGCAUGGAUGACUCAUAACUUUCUCCAGCUGAAUAGUUCAAAGACAGAAGCUAUCCUCAUUGGUUCCCCUCAUCAGAUCAGAUCAUCUUCCAUAACCUGCAUUACAUUCUCUGGCCAGGACAUUCCCCUAUCAUCAUUAGUCACCAAUCUUGGUGUCAAGUUUGAUCCUCAUUUAACCUUUGAGGCGCACAUUAAACAUCUUUGUAAAACAUCUUUUCUCCACCUCAGGAAUAUAGCCAGACUCCGCCCCACACUUACCCUACAUGAUGCUGAGAAACUCAUUCACGCCUUUGUCUCCUCAAGAUUGGACUAUUGUAACGCUCUUCUCAUCGGGAUUCCUAGCAAGAGCAUCCAGAAACUCCAGCACAUACAAAACAGUGCCGCUGGGAUCCUGAUGAGAGUGCGUAAAUAUGAACACAUCACACCAAUUCUUCGAUCUUUGCAUUGGCUUCCCAUUUCUGCCCGGAUUGAGUAUAAAGUCUCCCUUCUCACACAUCAGUGCAUCCAUGGCAAUGCCCCCAGUUACCUUCAAGAACUCCUAACUCCACAGACUUCAGCACGUUCCCUCCGCUCCACAAAUACCCACCGGCUCCGUCCCCCUAAGACUAAGUCCCGUACAAUUGGGGACAGAGCCUUCUGUGCCGCGGCCCCUCGGCUCUGGAAUGCUCUUCCUGAACACUUGAGGGCUCCACAAACGACAAAUGGUUUUAAAAAGGACUUAAAAACGUAUCUUUUUAAAAAGUUUUUCAAUGUUUAAAACUUUCUUCAUGUUUAAUUUUGUUAGUUUUAGUUGGCAGCUGAUUUUUAACUUAAUUCUUAGAUUGUUUUUUUUUUUUUUUUUUUUCUUUUAUUGUAGCACUUUGAGAUUUUCUUUAAAAUGUAAAGUGCUUUAUAAAUAAAAUGUAUUAUUAUUAUUAUUAUUAUCUACCCAGCGGUUUCAAAUCUCAUUGCUGUUAUUUUUCUUUCGAUCAUAUCUAUGUACACUAUAUUGG
ensembl:lncRNA